UGGAUCUCUGUUUAGUUGUCACUGUGUUAACCACAACCAACAUGUUGGAUCUCUGUUUAGUUGUCACUGUGUUAACCACAACCAACAUGUUGGAUCUCUGUUUAGUUGACACUGUGUUAACCACAACCAACAUGUUGGAUCUCUGUUUAGGGGACAGUUCUCUAAAAUGAGUCUCUCUGGAGCGAGAAAGAAGGGGGGCCCUGCCUCUAAAAUGAGUCUCUCUGGGGAGAGAGAGGAGGGGGGCCCUGCCUCUAAAAUGAGUCUCUCUGGGGAACAUGACUCCAAAUCUAAGAGACCAAUCAAGCAGGAGAGACCAGCCUCCCCUGUUCCCAGCUGUGUGUCUAUGAAGAGUGACCGGUCUAUGAAUCAACCUAUAUCCUUUAGAGAGGGAGACUUUUCUACUGAACAAAGAAACCAACAGGAGAGAUCAGAGUCAGAGAUUCUCAGUGGUCAGUCUUCCCAGAGUCAUCAAACACUGGAGAAAUGUAAGAUCUGUCUGCCUCAUGUUGAAUGCUGUUUUAUAACAUUUAAAAGCUGUAGCUAAAGUACAGCUAAAGUAGCUGUGUAACUCAAUGAUAUUGUAGCAGCCUUAACACUGUAAUUUUUCAGAGUAAAUAACUCACGGACAUUAGAGAAGCUUUAACCAAGUUCGAAUUCUACCUAAAGGGUCUGUAAUUCAGACAACAAAACAUUUGACACAAGCACUGAUAUUUAACAUUUACAUUUACAUUUACAUUUAAGUCAUUUAGCAGACGCUCUUAUCCAGAGCGACUUACAAAUUGGUGCUUUCACCUUAUGACAUCCAGUGGAACAGUAGUGCAUCUAAGUCUU